GCUAACGUCCGUCGUGAAGAGGGAAACAACCCAGACCGCCAGCUAAGGUCCCAAAGUCAUGGUUAAGUGGGAAACGAUGUGGGAAGGCCCAGACAGCCAGGAUGUUGGCUUAGAAGCAGCCAUCAUUUAAAGAAAGCGUAAUAGCUCACUGGUCGAGUCGGCCUGCGCGGAAGAUGUAACGGGGCUAAACCAUGCACCGAAGCUGCGGCAGCGACGCUUAUGCGUUGUUGGGUAGGGGAGCGUUCUGUAAGCCUGUGAAGGUGUGCUGUGAGGCAUGCUGGAGGUAUCAGAAGUGCGAAUGCUGACAUAAGUAACGAUAAAGCGGGUGAAAAGCCCGCUCGCCGGAAGACCAAGGGUUCCUGUCCAACGUUAAUCGGGGCAGGGUGAGUCGACCCCUAAGGCGAGGCCGAAAGGCGUAGUCGAUGGGAAACAGGUUAAUAUUCCUGUACUUGGUGUUACUGCGAAGGG
rnacentral:rRNA from 2 species